AGAAAACAGGGACCCA
rnacentral:miRNA from 1 species